UACGUAGGGGGCAAGCGUUAUCCGGAUUUACUGGGUGUAAAGGGAGCGUAGACGGCACUGCAAGUCCGGAGUGAAAGCCCAAGGCUUAACCAUGGGACUGCUCUGGAAACUGUGGAGCUUGAGUGCGGGAGGGGCAGGCGGAAUUCCUAGUGUAGCGGUGAAAUGCGUAGAUAUUAGGAGGAACACCGGUGGCGAAGGCGGCUUACUGGGCUUAAACUGACGCUGAGGCACGAAAGUGUGGGGAGCAAACAGG
rnacentral:rRNA from 1 species